rnacentral:rRNA from 1 species
CCGUGAUGGACUAACCGUCUGUCGCUGGGAAGAAGCUUAACUUGGGGGAAACUGCCACGAAAAUAAAACUUUAAUAUAAGUUUGCCUUUCUUUAAUUUUGUUAUUUUAGAAAUUUAAAUUAUUAAUUUAAUUUUUUCCUAGUCCCUUAUCCUAAAGAUGAGGAGACAUAGGUAGGUAGUUUUUAUUUAUAUAUUUUUAUUUUAGUAUAAAAAAUAAUAAUUUUUGCAUUAAAAAAACACUUAUAUUAAGCUAUUUAGUAUCUGUUAACCCAUUUAAGUAACAUCUCAAAAGUCAUAGCAAGGUAGCUUGGUACUGGG